GGUGUGGUUCAUGACUGGGGUGAAGUCGUAACAAGGUAGCCCUAGGGGAACCUGGGGCUGGAUCACCUCCUUU
rnacentral:rRNA from 4 species